ACAACAUGAAGUGGAGGAAUUGCACAGAUCCACAAAUAUGCAUAAAAUUUAAGUGAUCAAAAAUAGGUUCAUGUUUUGUGUGUUUGUGUGUGUAUGUGUGCGUGUGUGCGUGUUCGUGCGUGUGUGU